CAUAAUCACAUCUGUCCUCGGAGCUAAUCAAUAUCAAACAGGCCAGAGCAUCAUCUGUGAGGCAUAAAGCCAACUGCAGUGCCCUAUCUUAAUUCAACCACCUCCCAAAAUGAGCUAGCAGUUCAAACUGAGCAUGAAAAGCUUCUCAAUCUGCCUUCCCGGAAUACUUUGUGGUCUUAACAGAGACCGACGCAACCGGGAACUGGGCGCCGCCAUGUUUGUUUACAUCCUGAGUCCCAGAUUCCCCGUCCCGCCGACGUCACCCCUUCCGUCCGCCCACCAGAAUCCGUGCGAAGCACAGUCAACGAAGCACUCAUGCCCAUCAUUCUAAAGUCCUUCCUCAAGCAACCUCUGGACUCCCGACGCCCUGGCGAUCUCCUCAGCCUGAUCCUCCGACGUCCAUGCGCACGCACCUCCUUGGCCAAAAUCGUCCCCUACCUCCAACUUCACUUUCGGAUUCCCUCAAAUAAUUUUCAACCCCUGUUCUCACCUACGUUAGCUAGCCACACCACUGUAAUGACAUAACUAGAUCAUAAAGGAACAAUUGUCCAGACAGAGGGUUGAGUUUACGAAUUUACGGUUUAUUAACCCAACUUCACACAGGCUACUGUAGGCGGAAGCCCACGCCAAAUAAAUGAAGGAUACCCUGUAAAACAACCGUGACCUUCUCUUGUGAAGGCCAGACAAAAGAGAGAGAAUGAUAGAUAAACCUGGUCAAUGGCUAAACCUGGUCCAAUGCUCCAUCCCCCUGCCCAACCCCCCUCCACGCCACUCCGCCAACCACCAGGAUGCCCAGCAUCACAACAUUCCAAGCAUUCCCGUGAUUGGCAGAUAGCAGGUUGAUUGGCAUGUCGGACCCAACGAACACUAGAUGCUGCUGUGUUACGCUACCAGAGUAUAUCACAGAAAAAGAAGAUGUCCAAGUCUGGAAAAAAACAUCAGGUGGAACUAAUGACCAGUAUAUCAUGUCAAAAUGAGGAGGACCUGAGGAGGACCAGGAAAUGCAAAUGCAGCUAACCACUGCAAACUUUCAAAUAAGGAGCUCUAACGAGAAAAUGCAGCACUCAGACAAUCUCUCUCCGUGGCUGAAGAGUUGCAAGGUCUGUUCCAGGAGGUGAAAAAUCUAAAGAGGUAGAGAACGAGACACACAACUUCAAAGAGUGUCUCUGUGUUUUCUUUAAGCAUGAUGACCAGAAUAUGAGGAGUAGAGAUUGAGAGUAGGAAAUAUGAUUAGAAGUUGGAAGGAGAUGGUUGAAUGAAUCUGUAUUCACUUUCUCUAACUGUCUGCCAUAUUGUGUGUUCCCAGACAUCAUGGCUAGUGGAUCCACAUCCAUCUCCAAAACUCACAAUGACAUGGCUGGUGGUCUGAGACCCAUCUCCAAAUCUCACUAUGACAUGGCUGGUGGAUCCACACCCUUCUUCCAACCCCCAAAAGCAGCACUCCAAGACAUAGCCGUCACAACCCUCCCAGACAGCAUGGUAGGGUGACUUCAAACCUUGAGCUGUAAAGCGGGGAUGCAAACUAGUCACAAUUUGAAUACAAAAGCAGGUGUAUUAACAUUGUAACAAUACAGCAAGCAGGAAAAUACUGUAUGCAUGUGCAGUUUAACUUAAUUUAACAUAAAUGUUUAAUGCAUAUUGUAGUACAAUGAUAAUUUGUCUUAUAAGUGUUUUAACUUUUUGAGCGCCAUAUAGGAUUAUACAAAACUAUCUAACGGAAUACAGCAAGCAAACAACUUGAGUCAUGGCAGAAAGGACUGCGAGAAUGGUUUUAUAAUUCAAAUACAUGUACUUAAACGGGUGGUUCAUCGAGAAAUACUUUUAAUCUCAUUAGAACUUUGCCUAGGCAUUAGCCUUUACCAGAUACCAUUUUUAGGUUAGCUGGAUCAGUAUUUAGACUUUUGCAAUUUUAUUUAAAAAUGUGACAUUUACUAUUUUAUUUAGAAUGUAUGAAAAACGAUAUGUAUUUAUCCUCACUUUAUGCAACAAAUGUUGUCUUGUCAUUGAAUUGCCAAAAAACAAUCUGAUUGGCUUCAAAACAUAUCACAAAAAUCGACCUACUAGAGCAAAUGUUUUCUUCAGUUCGUGUCAUCUGGUUGAUACAAAUCUUUGACCCAAGAAGUUGACUGACCCAAAUCGCUGCUCGGCGCGGAUUAAUCGAAAAUUACUUCCUGGAUUUUAAUGAAAAAAAUAGCGAUAUCAUUGGGAAAUAGUAGGCUAGGUAAAUAUUUGAUCAAAGUAAUCUUAUCAAGAUUUUAACUAUUUCAGUUAUUGGAAGCACCGGUGGUGUCUUUCGAAGGUAUUUAUGAUAAACUUUGACAUUAAAUGGGGUUUCUAUGGGAGAGGGAGAAGUAGAAUUCGCUGAUGAGCUAAACUAAAUACUGAUCCAUCUAACCUAAUAACUGUCUCUGGUGAAGGCUAAUGCCUAGGAAAAUUCUCUAGUGAGAUAAAAUGUAUUUUUCGAUGAACCACCUCUUUAACAUAGUUGAUGAAAACAUUAAACAAGGAUGUGAGAUUUACAUUUCAAGAUAAUACUUUAUGAACAAGGCAUUUAUCUAAACAUGAAUCUGAGAAGUAGGCAGAGAACAUAUGCUUGGCUAAGUCCAAAACUCAAUCUAAUAUACUGUACUUAGAAAUGGGGAGAAAGAGAAAGGAGAUAAGAGUUGUUUAGUUACCACUAGUGCUGGGGGAGAUAAGACUUCAUCCACCAUCAAUGGCGACAAUGUCAAAAACAAUGUUUUGUUAAAUUCGCAGUCGACUUGAGAAAUUCUGUUUUCAAAAACUUUUUACAAUCACUGAUAAUGUUAAUAAUCCAUUCACAUUUGUGUUCUGCAAAGUCCUAACAUCGGUAACAAUAAUGGUUUUGUCCGAAUACUCGGCACACCCCUAUUAAAGACAUACUGGGGAAGAUUGAGCUAACAAGGCAAGGUUUUUUUUUAACAGGUGCAAGCACACAAACUGGAAGUUAGAGCAAAUCCUAAUAUUAGAAUACUGUAUUGAUUUUGGAUAUAAUGUUUUUUUAAAUAUUCUAAUAUCAUGCUAGUCUCAGGUUUCUGUCUAUCACAAAGGAACGUUUGAAUACAUUGUUGAUAACUACUACAGUACUGUACAAAGAGCACAUUUGACCACAUCUUCUAAAGACCCAAAAUCAUGUGUAACUGGCUUAUUUUUUUAAUGUAUUUGAUCAAAGUUAUUGUUUUAUGAUAUUUUACAGGCGGAACUAAAUGUUAUUUCUCUGUACAUCUGUUAUGUUUCUUGCAAUGAAGCAAUAGCCUAUGUAGCCUGCCGCACCGGCUACAUGCCAGGUAGUGGUUAGAGUGUUGUGCCAUGAACCGAAAGGAUGCUAAAUCGAAUCCUCUAACUGACAAGGUAAAAAUCUGACGUUCUGCCCCUGAACAAGGCAGUUAACCCACAGUUCCUAAGCCGUCAUUGUAAAUAAGAAUUUGUUCUUAACUGACUUGCCUAGUUAAUAAUAACUUGCCUAGUUAAUAAAAUAAUAAUGUUGGCGGCAUGAGGCAUGUUCAUGCCUUCCGAUCUGGCCAGUUGUUUUGUGUACAUUUUUUUGCUCCAAGUGAAAUCAUGGCUCUUCUCCGCAAGGUCGUGAUUCAACUUUUUUUACUCACGUGACGAAAGUUAACGUUUGCAUCUGAAUUAGGGUACAUAUCAAUGGACUAUUUUAGCUCCACAUAG